CUCAGUAUGCUUGGGCUUUUGUUGGCUUAUCAGUCACAGAAGGGAUCACUGCAAGCAUAACAGUUGUUAUAGGUCCUUUCUUUCAUUCUCUCUCUCUCUCUGACCAUUUCUAAAUGUUGAUGUUUGUCUGUGUUGCUCUUAUAGAUACUGAAUUUUUUGCUUCUGUUGCGAUCUUUAAUGGUGACAGGAACAACCUUGAAUUACUUUUUAGACAAUAGAAUUAAUAAAGCCGAGAUCCUUUUCCCUGGUGUGGCUGCUUCUUGGUUGCAAUUUGUCUUGCUUCUACUGUCCACUCAUCUAAUGCAGCUGAUAAUAAAGAAAUGCUUGAAGGUUUUUAAUCUAAAGAGGGGUAUGUUUCAUUCAUUAAAUGUUAAGGUUAUCAAAGAAUUAUCUUGUUUCCAGGUGACAUUCUUUUUUCUUUUUAUUAGAAAGAGUUCUUUUUUCUAACUUUAUUUUUAGUUUUAUUGUAGAAAUUGGGCUAAACCUUAUAUUAAAGAUGCUAAAGAAGUUUCCAGGUAUAUUGAGAUGAUUUCUUUGGAGCAAUUCUUGACAACAUUUGUAGUUGAGGCCUUUAGAAUGGAAGAAUGUAUUUCACUAAUUUUUGUAUACAUUUCUUGUUUUGUAUUUAGUGAUUUAGGAAUCUGAAUUUGGCAUAAAUUAUGUUGUAAUAUAAUUUCUUAAGCCUAGACUAGUAGACUAAAUAUUGUAAUUACAUUUGAGUAAUUAAUAAAAAUCUAUUUAUGUUACCUUA